UCCUGGCAACGUUUCAUACAGUUAAAAACAUUGGCUAACGUCUUUUGUUCUACAAGCUGGAAAUCGUCACUAACUGAAGAAAAUUAGCCGCUGAAGUGAGGAGUUGACGAUUAGACCUUGGUUUUAUCUAGUUAACAUUUAACCCGUUUAGUGUACGAUUUUAUUAUGAUUAGUAUUUGAGCAAAAUCGGGUUUUUUUUCCUAGUUGAUCUAAACUGAUUUGCUGUGAACAGCCUUGAUGGCUAACGCCAAAUACCUCUGAACAACUUGGCACAUUUCAAUGAUCUGACCAUGAGACGGAGCCCGACGAGACCCCUGAUUCUCAAAAGAAGAAAACUGCCUUUUCAUCAAAAUGCGACUGAUUCACAGCCUGGAGAAUCAGGCUCCAAAGAACCAUCAAAACCAGCUGCCACUCAGAGCUUUUCUGAUGGUAUCCGCAUCAUGGACCAUCCAUCCAUGUCUGAUACUCAGGUGGUUGUCAUUCCCGAAACAGCAGAAGUUCAAAGUGUUAUUGGGGCCCUCACAGCUAAAGACAAUGAAUGUGGUGCCCAGGGCCCAAACAAGCUCAUUCUUCUGAGUGGAAGUGGAAGUGACAACAAGUGGGACUAUGGACCUGAUUCUCAGUCUGCUGCUGAAGGGGCUGCUACAAGGAGUACAGAAGGACAUAAA